rnacentral:pre_miRNA from 1 species
UAACCUCAUAUUUGUAUGAAAUGGAAUCGUUUGCGUACGUUUACCGCUAGGGUCGCUGUUCCAAUUGCAUACAAAAUUGGGCUA